AGCGAACGCUGGCGGCAGGCUUAACACAUGCAAGUCGAGCGGGCACUUCGGUGUCAGCGGCAGACGGGUGUGUAACACGUGGGAACGUACCCUUUGGUUCGGAAUAACGCUGGGAAACUAGCGCUAAUACCGGAUACGCUCUUUUGGGGAAAGGCUUGCUGCCGAAGGAUCGGCCCGCGUCUGAUUAGCUAGUUGGUGGGGUAAUGGCCUACCAAGGCGACGAUCAGUAGCUGGUCUGAGAGGAUGAUCAGCCACACUGGGACUGAGACACGGCCCAGACUCCUACGGGAGGCAGCAGUGGGGAAUAUUAGACAAUGGGCGCAAGCCUGAUCCAGCCAUGCCGCGUGAGUGAUGAAGGCCUUAGGGUUGUAAAGCUCUUUUGGCCGGGACGAUAAUGACGGUACCGGAAGAAGAAGCCCCGGCUAACUUCGUG
rnacentral:rRNA from 1 species